AGUCCCAUAGUCUAGUGGUCAAGGACGCUGGGUUUUGAUCCCAGAAACCGAGGUUCGAAUCCUCGUGGGGCUA
rnacentral:tRNA from 1 species